rnacentral:sRNA from 1 species
UGAGGCUGAGGACGAUCCGCCAGUGAGCGCGGAGACUGCUUCCACUUCGGGCGGGGGAGCGCCGGACCGGGUCGGCUCUCUGGGCCGUGGAGCUUGCCGUCCCACCUCCGUCCAAAUCGACCUUUCCCUUCUAUCCCCAAGCACCCCUCAACUCCUGUUUUCCCCUGCCUUCCUUGCAGAGGCCAUGGAGGACGAGGAGAGACAGAAGAAGCUGGAGGCCGGCAAAGCCAAGGUUGAAGAACUAUCUUUAGUUUUUCUUGUCAGCUUGCCCAGUUUCGACAAAGAAAAGCUCAAUCAGAUGGGCAGAAUCCUUCCAAGAAGCAGAAAAAAAAGAGAAAAACGUCAAGCAGUAAACAUGAUGUGUCAGCACACCAUGAUUUGAAUAUUGAUCAAUCACAGUGUGAUGAAAUGUACAUAAAUAGUUCUCAGAGAGUAGAAUCAACUGUGACUCCUGAAUCUACAAUAAUGAGAACUUUACGUAGUGGAGAAAUAACCAGUCAUGAGCAGGUCUUCUCUGUGGAACUGGAAAGUGAAAUUUCAACCACAGCAGAUGACUACAGUUCAGAGGUAAAUGGUUGCAGUUUUGUGAUGAGAACAGGAAAGCCUGCAAAUUUAUUAAGGGAAGAAGAAUUUGGUGUUGAUGAUUCUUAUUCUGAACAAGGAGCACAAGACAGUCCAACUCACCUAGAGAUGAUGGAAAGUGAGUUGGCUGGGAAGCAGCAUGAGAUUGAAGAGCUAAACAGAGAGCUGGAAGAAAUGAGGGUUACCUAUGGGACUGAAGGACUGCAGCAGUUACAAGAAUUUGAAGCUGCCAUUAAACAAAGAGAUGGCAUUAUAACCCAGCUCACUGCUAAUUUACAACAAGCAAGAAGAGAAAAGGAUGAGACAAUGAGAGAAUUUUUAGAGUUGACAGAACAGAGUCAAAAAUUACAGAUUCAGUUUCAGCAAUUACAGGCUAGUGAAACUCUGAGAAACAGCACUCAUAGUAGCACAGCUGCAGACUUACUACAAGCCAAACAACAGAUCCUCACUCAUCAACAGCAGCUUGAAGAACAAGACCACUUAUUAGAAGAUUAUCAGAAAAAGAAAGAAGACUUCACAAUGCAAAUUAGUUUCUUGCAAGAGAAAAUUAAAGUAUAUGAAAUGGAACAAGAUAAAAAAGUAGAAAACUCAAAUAAAGAAGAAAUACAGGAAAAGGAGACAAUCAUUGAAGAAUUAAACACAAAAAUAAUAGAAGAAGAAAAGAAAACUCUUGAGCUAAAGGAUAAAUUAACAACUGCUGAUAAAUUACUAGGAGAAUUACAAGAACAGGUUGUGCAAAAGAACCAAGAAAUAAAAAACAUGAAAUUAGAGCUGACUAAUUCUAAGCAAAAAGAAAGACAAUCUUCUGAAGAAAUAAAACAGUUAAUGGGGACAGUUGAAGAACUUCAGAAGAGAAAUCAUAAAGACAGCCAGUUCGAAACUGAUAUAGUACAACGAAUGGAACAAGAAACACAAAGAAAGUUAGAACAACUCCGGGCAGAGCUGGAUGAGAUGUAUGGGCAGCAGAUAGUGCAAAUGAAACAAGAAUUAAUAAGACAACACAUGGCACAGAUGGAGGGACUUAAAACACGGCAUAAGGGAGAAAUGGAGAAUGCUUUAAGGUCAUAUCCAAAUAUUACAGCUAAUGAAGAUCAGAUAAAGUUAAUGAAUGUGGCAAUAAAUGAACUGAAUAUAAAAUUGCAAGAUACUAACUCUCAAAAGGAAAAACUCAAGGAAGAACUAGGACUAAUUUUAGAGGAAAAGUGUGCUCUACAGAGGCAGCUUGAAGACCUCGUUGAAGAAUUGAGCUUUUCAAGGGAACAAAUUCAGAGAGCUAGACAGACAAUAGCUGAACAAGAAAGUAAACUGAAUGAAGCACAUAAGUCCCUUAGUACAGUGGAAGAUUUGAAAGCUGAGAUUGUUUCUGCAUCUGAAUCCAGAAAGGAACUAGAAUUAAAACAUGAAGCAGAAGUUACAAAUUACAAGAUAAAACUUGAAAUGUUAGAAAAAGAAAAGAAUGCUGUGUUAGACAGAAUGGCUGAAUCACAAGAAGCUGAAUUAGAGAGGCUGAGAACACAGCUUCUAUUUAGUCACGAAGAAGAGCUUUCCAAACUGAAGGAAGAUUUAGAAAUUGAACAUCGAAUAAAUAUUGACAAACUUAAAGAUAAUUUAGGCAUUCACUAUAAACAGCAGAUAGAUGGUUUACAGAAUGAAAUGAGUCAAAAGAUAGAAACCAUGCAGUUUGAAAAAGACAAUUUGAUAACUAAGCAGAAUCAAUUAAUUUUGGAAAUUUCAAAGCUAAAAGAUUUACAGCAGUCUCUUGUAAAUUCAAAGUCAGAAGAAAUGACCCUUCAAAUCAAUGAACUUCAAAAAGAAAUUGAAAUACUCAGACAAGAAGAAAAAGAAAAGGGUACACUUGAACAAGAAGUUCAAGAAUUACAACUUAAAACAGAAUUAUUAGAAAAACAGAUGAAGGAAAAAGAGAAUGAUCUUCAAGAAAAAUUUGCACAACUUGAAGCAGAGAAUAACAUUCUUAAAGAUGAAAAGAAAGCCCUUGAAGACAUGUUGAAAAUACAUACUCCUGUUAGCCAAGAAGAAAGAUUGAUUUUCAUAGACUCCAUUAAGUCCAAAUCCAAAGACUCUGUCUGGGAAAAAGAAAUAGAAAUACUUACAGAGGAAAAUGAGGACCUCAAACAACAAUGUAUUCAGCUAAAUGAAGAGAUUGAAAAGCAAAGGAACACUUUUUCAUUUGCUGAAAAAAACUUUGAAGUUAACUAUCAAGAGUUACAAGAGGAGUAUGCUUGCCUUCUCAAAGUAAAAGAUGAUUUAGAAGACAGUAAAAAUAAACAGGAAUUAGAGUAUAAAAGUAAGCUUAAAGCCCUUAAUGAAGAGCUUCAUUUGCAAAGAAUAAAUCCAACUACAGUGAAAAUGAAAAGUUCUGUCUUUGAUGAAGACAAAACUUUUGUAGCAGAAACAUUGGAACUGGGUGAGGUUGUUGAGAAGGAUACAACAGAACUCAUGGAAAAACUUGAGGUAACCAAGCGAGAGAAAUUAGAGCUGUCACAGAGACUGUCUGAUCUUUCUGAACAAUUGAAACAGAAACAUGGUGAGAUUAGUUUUCUAAAUGAACAAGUUAAAUCUUUAAAGCAAGAGAAAGAACAAGUUUCAUUGAGAUGUAGAGAGCUAGAAAUCAUUAUUAACCACAACAGGGCAGAAAAUGUACAGUCAUGUGAUACUCAAGUAAGCUCUUUAUUAGAUGGAGUUGUGACUAUGACAAGCAGGGAUGCUGAAGGAUCAAUUUCUAAAGUAAAUAAAAGUUUUGGUGAAGAAUCAAAAAUAAUGGUGAAAGAUAAAGUUUCUUUUGAAAAUAUGACUAUUGGAAAAGAAAGUAAGCAAGAACAGUUGAUUUUGGAUCACUUACCAUCUGUAACAAAAGAAUCAUCACUUAGAGCAACUCAACCAAGUGAAAAUGAUGAACUUCAGAAAGAACUCAAUGUACUUAAAUCAGAACAGAAUGAUUUAAGGCUACAGAUGGAAGCCCAACGCAUUUGCCUCUCUCUGGUUUAUUCAACUCAUGUGGAUCAGGUUCGUGAAUAUAUGGAAAAUGAAAAAGAUAAAGCUCUUUGCAGUCUUAAAGAAGAGCUUAUUUCUGCUCAAGAGGAAAAGAUGAAGGAACUUCAGAAAAUACACCAGUUAGAGCUACAGACUAUGAAAACACAAGAAACAGGUGAUGAAGGAAAGCCUUUACAUCUGCUCAUUGGAAAACUUCAAAAGGCAGUGUCUGAAGAAUGUUCUUAUUUUUUACAGACUUUAUGCAGUGUCCUUGGUGAAUAUUAUACUCCUGCUUUAAAAUGUGAAGUAAAUGCAGAAGACAAAGAGAAUUCUGGUGAUUACAGUUCUGAAAAUGAAGAUCCAGAAUUACAAGAUUAUAGAUAUGAAGUUCAAGACUUUCAAGAAAAUAUGCACACUCUUCUCAACAAAGUAACAGAAGAAUACAACAAACUCUUGGUACUUCAAACACGACUAAGCAAGAUUUGGGGACAGCAGACAGAUGGUAUGAAACUUGAAUUUGGAGAAAAAAACCUUCCAAAAGAGGAAACAGAGUUUUUAUCAAUCCAUUCUCAGAUGACCAAUUUGGAAGACAUUGAUGUCAAUCAUAAAAGCAAGUUAUCUUCUCUGCAAGAUCUUGAAAAAACUAAACAGCUUGAAGAACAAGUUCAAGAAUUAGAAAGCCUCAUAUCCUCUUUGCAGCAACAAUUGAAAGAAACUGAACGAAACUAUGAGGCAGAGAUCCACUGUUUACAGAAGAGGCUUCAAGCUGUUAGUGAGUCCACAGUUCCGCCAAGCUUACCUGUUGAUUCGGUGGUAAUUACAGAAUCUGAUGCACAGAGAACAAUGUACCCUGGAAGUUGUGUGAAAAAGAAUAUUGAUGGUACAAUAGAGUUUUCUGGUGAAUUUGGAAUGAAAGAGGAAACAAAUAUCGUUAAGUUGCUUGAAAAACAAUACCAAGAACAAUUAGAAGAAGAAGUAGCUAAGGUUAUUGUGUCAAUGAGUAUAGCAUUUGCUCAACAAACUGAACUGUCUAGAAUAUCUGGGGGAAAAGAAAAUACUGCAUCAUCAAAGCAAGCACAUGCUGUGUGUCAGCAAGAACAACAUUAUUUUAAUGAAAUGAAAUUAUCACAGGAUCAAAUUGGUUUUCAGACUUUUGAGACAGUGGAUGUGAAAUUUAAAGAAGAAUUUAAACCACUUAGUAAAGAGUUAGGAGAACAUGGAAAGGAAAUUUUAUUAUCAAAUAAUGAUCCCCAUGAUAUACCGGAAUCAAAGGACUGUGUGCUGACUGUUUCAGAAGAAAUGUUCUCCAAAGAUAAAACAUUUAUAGUUAGACAGUCUAUUCAUGAUGAGAUUUCGGUGUCAAGCAUGGAUGCUUCUAGACAACUAAUGUUGAAUGAAGAACAGUUGGAAGAUAUGAGGCAGGAACUUGUACGACAAUACCAAGAACAUCAACAGGCAACAGAAUUGUUAAGGCAAGCACAUAUGCGACAAAUGGAGAGACAGCGAGAAGACCAGGAACAGCUACAAGAAGAGAUUAAGAGACUUAAUAGACAAUUAGCCCAGGUAAGGGUCUUGUAGUCCCGUUUCUCUCCCCAGUUAUUUUUUUUUUUUCCCAAACACCAACUUGAAGCAGAUCCCCAAUUAAAACAACAGUAUUUUUUAUGUAGCCAUAAUUUUUCUUUUUUUUUUGCCGAAAUCUGAAUAAACUACAUAUAUUUAGCAUCAGGAACACACUCUGUACUAAGACAGCAGCUUUAGAUCUUGUUAGGGACAGCUGUCUCAACCUUGGAGUGGGCAUUGUCUUUCUGUCAUUUUAUUUAACUCCUUUUUCAAGCACUGGAAAAGUGGCUACACGGUUUUGUUUUUUUCUUUUAAAUCAUUCCAUUAGCCAUAUACAGCAAACUCACUUUGACAUUUUGGAAAUAACAUUGUGCUGAGGUGCUCCAUUAUGCAGCUACUAUCAUUCAGUUUUACUAUCUUCAUUUAUAGUUCUGUGAGUCCACCAAGUAGCAUCUCAAAGGUUUACCUUUAUCUGUCUUUAAUCCAUCUUUUUAAUCAUGAAUGGGAAUCGGAAGUAGUAUGCUUCUGAAACUUUCCAGGGAAACAUCUCUUCUUGAUUUGAGAAAUGCAAAUUUAUUUAACAUUCUUAUCGCUUUCUUGACUAAAUUUAAAAAUACUUCUUGGUGUUUGGGAGCUGGAUUCUUGUCAACUGCUGUAUAAAAUAUACUCACAAAACCAUUGCAGAAAAGCAAGAAAUAUUUAUGUAGAAGUUCUUAUGAAAACAAAUUUAUUGAAUUUAAUUUUGAAAACUGAAGCUAAAAAGAAAGAUAAUAAAUAUCUAGCGAUAACUAUGAACAGUAUUCUUUCAAACAUAAAAUAAUAGGAUAAUUGGGAGCUGAGCAUAAAACAUUAUUUGGAAAAAUUAACUUUGCUUUUCUUCAUUGCAUUUUGUCAAGUC